rnacentral:rRNA from 1 species
AGAGUUUGAUCAUGGCUCAGAUUGAACGCUGGCGGUAUGCCUAACACAUGCAAGUCGAACGAGGUAGCAAUACCUAGUGGCGGACGGGUGAGGAAUACGUAGGGAUCUGCCCUUAAGUGGGGGAUAACCCGGGGAAACCCGGAUUAAUACCGCAUGAUCUCGCAAGAGCAAAGAGGGGGACCGCAAGGCCUCUCGCUUUUGGAGGAACCUACGUCGGAUUAGCUAGUUGGUGAGGUAAUGGCUCACCAAGGCGACGAUCCGUAACUGGUCUGAGAGGAUGAUCAGUCACACCGGAACUGAGACACGGUCCGGACUCCUACGGGAGGCAGCAGUGGGGAAUAUUGGACAAUGGGCGAAAGCCUGAUCCAGCAAUACCGCGUGUGUGAAGAAGGCCUUCGGGUUGUAAAGCACUUUAAGUUGGGAAGAAAAAGCUUCACCUAAUACGUGAAGCCUUGACGGUACCGACAGAAUAAGCACCGGCUAACCCUGUGCCAGCAGCCGCGGUAAUACAGAGGGUGCUAGCGUUAGCCGGAUUUACGGGGCGUAAAGCGUGCGUAGGUGGUUUGAUAAGUCGAUUGUGAAAGCCCCGGGCUUAACCUGGGAAUUGCGGUCGAUACUGUCAGACUCGAAAACGGUAGAGGGAGGUGGAACUCCAGGUGUAGCGGUGAAAUGCGUAGAUAUCUGGAAGAACACCGAUGGCGAAGGCAGCUUCCUGGGCCUGUUUUGACACUGAGGCACGAAAGCGUGGGUAGCAAACAGGAUUAGAUACCCCGGUAGUCC